UUAUCAUUGUGGAUCUUGUCCAGCACUUACUGCUGAGUGGAACCUUUCUGCCUCCCUUUGGUUCCCUGGGGAAUGUUUUGAUCAGCAGGAUUACAAGACCACUCCUUCUUCCUGUCUUAGAAAGAAAGCCUUUUCCUGUAUCUCAGAUGCCACAUGUUAGCUGUCUGCAUAGGAUUUCAUGGAAGAUGUCUGCAGAAAAUCCCUAAAGCUUAAAGUUUGUACCCCCCUUGGCAAGCGGAUCGAGGUAUGCAGAAAAGUGUGCAUUGUUAUAAAGGUGUAUAUGUUCUAGAGAUAAACCCUGUUCAUGCUGUUUGGUUUUAAAUACGCUAUACUGUAUAAUCCAAGGCACUUUGCAUGUAACCAUGUUUCUUUGAAUGUUCAAUGUAAUUAGAUAUGUGUGCAGACAACUGUAAUUAACCCUGUAACCCCCUUUUUGGUGACAACUGUAAAUAAGUGUUUUAUAUGUCAUUUACAGUUUUCACGGUGCUAUGGUGCUAUGGUGCUUACGAUAUUCAUGUUUACGGUGCUCAAGGAGAUAAAGAAAACAAUAUUCAACCCUGCUACGCACCUUUGUUCCGAAAUAAUAAAACUACUGCACCCGUCAGAAGCUCUCCUCUUGUUAUUUAUUCGAUGCCAAAGGGGCCGUAACAGUGAAAACUCGUCGCUGCGGUGGAGACUCGACAUCACCAGCUGCGUCGCUGUCUUCAUCGAACUAAAGAAAGCCUUUUCCUGUAUCUCAGAUGCCACAUGUUAGCUGUCUGCAUAGGAUUUCAUGGAAGAUGUCUGCAGAAAAUCCCUAAAGCUUAAAGUUUGUACCCCCCUUGGCAAGCGGAUCGAGG